AAAAAAAAAAAAAAAGAAGGGAUUUUGAUUAAUUUACUGAAAAUUCGGACCGAAUCUGUAAAACCGAAAAAGACGGCCGAGUUUUGCAAAACCUCAAAAUUUGUGAAUUUUUUUAUGCAAAUUGACCAAAAAAAAUAUAAUAAAUAGAUUUUUUGAAAAAAAUUAUAAUAUGAUGGGUAAAUUUCAGAGGCAAUUUCCAUUGGUUGAAAAUGUAGAUGAUAUAAUACAGCUGUAAUAUU
rnacentral:lncRNA from 1 species